rnacentral:rRNA from 1 species
GGAAUAUUGGACAAUGGGCGGAAGCCUGAUCCAGCCAUGCCGCGUGAAGGAAGACUGCGCUCAGCGUUGUAAACUUCUUUUGGAUGGGAAUAAUGGUGUUGACGAGAUCAGCAUUUGAAGGUACCACCAGAAUAAGCACCGGCUAACUCCGUGCCAGCAGCCGCGGUAAUACGGAGGGUGCAAGCGUUAUCCGGAAUCACUGGGUUUAAAGGGUGCGUAGGCGGUUUGAUAAGUCAGUUGUGAAAUCUCUUGGCUUAACCAAUGAAAUUGCGAUUGAUACUGUUAGACUUGAAUCAGGUUGAGGUAGGCGGAAUGUGGCAUGUAGCGGUGAAAUGCAUAGAUAUGCCAUAGAACACCGAUUGCGAAGGCAGCUUGCUGGACCUCGAUUGACGCUGAGGCACGAAAGCGUGGGGAGCAAAC